GGGGUGGCACACAGAUGGAGCAUGAACCAAGCAGGGAAAGUUGUGCACAGCAACGGCACUGACCCAGGAAUCUCUUGCUGAGCACAGAGAGGGCAUCUUGUCUGCAUGGGAGUUGUAUGUGGCUGCCGAGCAACCAAAGCAAGGAGAGGAAGGAGGUAAGGGGUUCCUGAAAUAGAUUUGAUUUUCACAAUUUGGUUUAAAUCUGACCCUUGUCCUCCUAGAAAGUAGAAGAUAUGAUAAAGAUUUUGGCUUUGGGGACCAGCUCUCGGGAAGAAAGGACUGCAGGAUGGAGGAGGGUUUUGACUUGCCCUGGUGUGUGUGUGUAAACUGGGAUCCGGAGUUUGACAGCAGAGGAGAGACUUCUGGUGUGAAGGCAGAGCGAUCCUGGUCCCCUAGGGAGUACACUUGAUAAGCAAGAGACCAGGUACAGAUUCUUUCAGAUCUUACAGUUCUCAAAGAGCAAGCAAAUGUCCUCUUUCCAAGCCUCACAUUUAGACUGACUGCUGGCAGAUAGAAAACUUCUUGAAGGAGGCCUCGGCUUUGAAGGUUUGUUGUAAGACCGUAACACCUAACUCAGGGGUGGAAGUGGGUGCUCUGCCUUAGCCUUCCCAUGGUUACACCAAGAGGAUCUGGACGACCACUGCUCCUGAGAGGCCAAUGUUUCUACUUCGUGGCUUUAACCAGUGUGCUCUGGCUGCCAUCUGCACAGACCCGAGAGUCUUUUCUUCCACAGAGGUUUCACCUUCAACUGCCUACAGCAUUUGGUCUCUUCUGGAGGAAUUUAAGAGGGCCGUACCAGCAGCACAUCAAGGAUCCCAGCCUAGGGGUCUAAAAGGAGCUACAGCUGCCGGCCUACUCCACAGCCACAGCAGCGCAGGAUCCAAGCCGAGUCUGCGACGUACACCACAUCUCACGGCAACUAAAGAUCCUUAAUCCACAUAGCGAGGCCAGGGAUCGAACUCUCGACCUCAUGGUUCCUAGUCAGAUUCGUUUCCACUUCACCACAAUGGGAACUCCAAGGAUCCUAAACUUCGUGAAGGCAGAAUGCUCGCUUAACUCAUUUCUGUAUUCGUCCCACAAAUUUUAUUGAGCUUUGUAAGUGCACAAAAAGGAGUUGUUAACAAAUAAAUGAUGAGCAGAGUGAAUUCACCUAGACCUAAGGAGAUGGGGCUUCCAUGAGGGCAGGGAUGAGGUGCUCUAUCUCCAUUAAUCUGAGGUGAGGAUGUGGGCAGGGAAUCCCCAUCAGCUGCAGAGAUGGCUGCAAAGUGGUGAGAAUGGGCUGACAGACCAAACGUUGCAAGUUCUGUAGAGGACUGUCACCAACCUUUGGAGAUUCCAGCUUUAGAUAAUUUUUUCUCAUGAUAUUCAUCAAAUAUUCAUUAUUGGGAGUAGAAAAUUUCCCAGUCUCUGGGGCCAUCUUUUUAUGUACUAAGAGCCCUGUUUCUGAAUGGAACUCUCUCACCUCUGGCCCCACCCUAUUAUUAAGGGUUGGCUAGAAUCCAUGUGUCCUUUGGACUAGGAAGCUGCAUAACCGAUGGUAAAUGCCUCCCCCUUUUGUCACCCCAGCAGUUCCAGGCUGAGUCAUUUUCUAAAUAAGCCACUUGUGGUUUUUGGUCUGACAUCACAUGUGGAAGACUGAGUAAUUUUUUAAGAACCAGAAUUAAAGUCGAUCAGAAUAAGAUACAUUGUGUACGUUACUCAUGGUUCUAGGACAAGGGGUCAACGCUGGUAACAAGUACCCUAAGCUUCUCCUACCCCUCCUUUCCCUGGGGCUGAGGGACAGGGAGAAGGCCAAGGAAGGAGGUGGGGAUGGAUAUGAAGAAUUUUUGUGUGCAUCUCUAAUUUUGUUAAUACAUUAUGUACAGUAAAAUUAUAUCUUGUUGCCACUUCCAGAUUAAAUAAAAGUAAUAUAGCAAAGUAGGUAAGGCCUGGGGGCUCUGCUGCUUGGGUUCAAAUCCCAGCUUCACCACAUACCAGUUGGGCAAGUUACUGAUUCUUGAUUCGCCUGCAUUUCCUCAUUUAUAAAAUAAUAGUAUCUAUGAUGUAGGGUUGUUGUCAGGAAUAAAUGAAUUGAUAUAUGUUGAGUGCUUAGAAUUGUCUGGAACUUAGUAAGCACUAUGGAAAUAUGACUAAAUAUUUCUGUGAGUCCACCACAACGUUUAUGCUCAUAUUAAAUGUUCAAUAAAUGGUUCUUGAUGAAAUGAAUGUGUUCUAUUAAAACAUAUUUGGAACUGGGGAGAGAGGUGACUACAAGUGGUAGACUCUUGGCUGGAAAGAGAAGACCCAUAAAAAUCAAUUCCCUUGAGCACAGGUAUUCAGUUUGCCUGCCUGCCUUUUGUUUGUUGCUAGUUUGUUUCUUAGUUAUGUGCAUUGUGGCAGGAGGAGGGCUGCCUCCCUGCACCGCCCCCCUACCCCUGUGUCAGUGGGAGGUUCUAUUUCUUUUUUUUCUUUUUUCUCUUUUUAGGGCUGCACCCAUGGCAUAUGGAAG